rfam:Weissella oryzae SG25 DNA, scaffold: sequence14.
AGGAUUGUAGCUCAGCUGGUUAGAGCGCACCGCUGAUAACGGUGAGGUCGGAGGUUCGAGUCCUCUCAGUCCUA